AUGCCGGCGACGUGCGCGGCCUUCUUGAACGAGAAGUGGGUCUGGUCGGAGCAGUAGACGACGAGGUCGCCCAUCCUCUCCUCGCCUCCAACUUCCGCGAGCUUCCGGUCCCUCGCGGCGACGAUGGUGCAGAGCAUGGCCUCGCACGACGUCCCCAGCAGCGUGCCGCCUCCGCCACCGCAGAAGAGCAGCUGCUCCGGGAGGUGUAGCGCCUUACCCAGCCAAUCUGUAACAACGGUCUCGAGCUCGGUGGCCGCCGGCGAGGCGGCCCAGGUGAAAGGGUUGAUGUUGAGGCCCGCGGCGAGGGCCUCGCCGAGCGCGCCCACGUUGCUGGCCGUCGCCGCGAAGUGCGCGAAAUGACGGGGGCUCUGCCAGUGGGUGACGCCGGGAAGGAUGAGGUCCCGGACGUCGCGCAGCGCCGAGGCGAGCGCGUCGGGCUCCGGCCACGACGGCGCGGUGUCGGGAAGCUGCCGGGCUAGGAACCCGGGAGCGACGGCCGGGCGGACGGGGUACUCGUCAAUGUGGUCGUAG
rnacentral:rRNA from 1 species